GACGAACGCUGGCGGCGUGCCUAAUACAUGCAAGUAGAACGCUGAAGAGAGGAGCUUGCUCUUCUUGGAUGAGUUGCGAACGGGUGAGUAACGCGUAGGUAACCUGCCUUGUAGCGGGGGAUAACUAUUGGAAACGAUAGCUAAUACCGCAUAACAAUGGAUGACACAUGUCAUUUAUUUGAAAGGGGCAAUUGCUCCACUACAAGAUGGACCUGCGUUGUAUUAGCUAGUAGGUGAGGUAAUGGCUCACCUAGGCGACGAUACAUAGCCGACCUGAGAGGGUGAUCGGCCACACUGGGACUGAGACACGGCCCAGACUCCUACGGGAGGCAGCAGUAGGGAAUCUUCGGCAAUGGGGGCAACCCUGACCGAGCAACGCCGCGUGAGUGAAGAAGGUUUUCGGAUCGUAAAGCUCUGUUGUAAGUCAAGAACGGGUGUGAGAGUGGAAAGUUCACACUGUGACGGUAGCUCACCAGAAAGAGACGGCUAACUACGUG
rnacentral:rRNA from 1 species